AACGAACGCUGGCGGCAGGCCUAAUACAUGCAAGUCGAACGGAUGUAGCAAUACAUUAGUGGCGCACGGGUGCGGAACACGGGGGAACAUACUCUUUGGUAAGGAAUAAUGUCUGGAAACGGACACGAAUACCUUAUAAUGACUUCGGUCCAAAGAUUUAUCGCCAGAGGAUUGGCCCGGGUCUGAUUAGGUAGUUGGUGGGGUAAUGGCCUACCAAGCCUACGAUCAGUAGCUGGUCUGAGAGGAUGAUCAGCCACACUGGAACUGAGACGCGGCCCAGACUCCUACGGGAGGCAGCAGUAAGGAAUAUUGCACAAUGGGCGCAAGCCUGACCCAGCCACGCCGCGUGAGUGAAGAAGGCCUUAGGGUUGUAAAGCUCUUUCAAUAGUGAAGAUAAUGACGGUAGCUAUAGAAGAAGCCCCGGCUAAAUUCGUGCCAGCCGCCGCCGUAA
rnacentral:rRNA from 1 species